rnacentral:rRNA from 1 species
CCCUUAGAUGUUCUGGGCCGCACGCGCGCUACACUGAUGCAUUCAACGAGCCUAUCCUUGACCGACAGGUCCGGGUAAUCUUUGAAUCUGCAUCGUGACGGGGAUAGAUUAUUGCAAUUAUUAAUCUUCAACGAGGAAUGCCUAGUAGGCGCAAGUCAUCAGCUUGCGUCGAUUACGUCCCUGCCCUUUGUACACACCGCCCGUCGCUCCUACCGAUUGGGUUUGCUGGUGAAAUGUUCGGAUCGGCCGUUUGUCGCGGUUUCCGCGGCUCGUGGCUGAGAAGUUCAUUAAACCCUCCCACCUAGAGGAAGGAGAAGUCGUAACA